UUCAAGGAACUCAUCCCAAGGAAAACUACU
rnacentral:piRNA from 1 species